GACGAACGCUGGCGGCGUGCCUAAUACAUGCAAGUCGAGCGAGUCUGCCUUGAAGAUCGGAGUGCUUGCACUCUGUGAAACAAGAUACAGGCUAGCGGCGGACGGGUGAGUAACACGUGGGUAACCUGCCCAAGAGAUCGGGAUAACACCUGGAAACAGAUGCUAAUACCGGAUAACAACAGAUGAUGCCUAUCAACUGUUUAAAAGAUGGUUCUGCUAUCACUCUUGGAUGGACCUGCGGUGCAUUAGCUAGUCUGUAGGGUAACGGCCUACCAAGGCGAUGAUGCAUAGCCGAGUUGAGAGACUGAUCGGCCACAUUGGGACUGAGACACGGCCCAAACUCCUACGGGAGGCAGCAGUAGGGAAUCUUCCACAAUGGACGCAAGUCUGAUGGAGCAACGCCGCGUGAGUGAAGAAGGGUUUCGGCUCGUAAAGCUCUGUUGUUGGUGAAGAAGGACAGGGGUAGUAACUGACCUUUGUUUGACGGUAAUCAAUUAGAAAGUCACGGCUAACUAAGUG
rnacentral:rRNA from 1 species